CGUAGUGGGGGACAACCGUGGGAAACUACGGCUAAUACCGCAUGAUGCCUGAGGGCCAAAGACGAAAGUCGUUUGAGGAGGAGCCUGCGUCUGAUUAGGUAGUUGGUGGGGUAAAGGCCUACCCAAGCCUGCGAUCAGUAGCUGGUCUGAGAGGAUGAUCAGCCACAUUGGGACUGAGACACGGCCCAAACUCCUACGGGAGGCAGCAGUGGGGAAUAUUGGACAAUGGGCGCAAGCCGGAUCCAGCAAUGCCGCGUGGGUGAAGAAGGUCUUCGGAUUGUAAAGCCCUUUUGGCGGGGACGAUGAUGACGGUACCCGCAGAACAAGCUCCGGCUAACUUCGUG
rnacentral:rRNA from 1 species